GACGAACGCUGGCGGCGUGCUUAACACGUGCAAGUCGAACGGAAAGGCCCUGCUUUUGUGGGGUGCUCGAGUGGCGAACGGGUGAGUAACACGUGAGUAACCUGCCCUUGACUUUGGGAUAACUUCAGGAAACUGGGGCUAAUACCGGAUAGGAGCUCCUGCUGCAUGGUGGGGGUUGGAAAGUUUCGGCGGUUGGGGAUGGACUCGCGGCUUAUCAGCUUGUUGGUGGGGUAGUGGCUUACCAAGGCUUUGACGGGUAGCCGGCCUGAGAGGGUGACCGGCCACAUUGGGACUGAGAUGCGGCCCAGACUCCUACGGGAGGCAGCAGUGGGGAAUAUUGCACAAUGGGCGGAAGCCUGAUGCAGCAACGCCGCGUGCGGGAUGACGGCCUUCGGGUUGUAAACCGCUUUCGCCUGUGACGAAGCGUGAGUGACGGUAAUGGGUAAAGAAGCACCGGCUAACUACGUG
rnacentral:rRNA from 1 species